CUACCUUUGACUGAUGGAAACAUGCAAACUAGUCAAUAUUCAAUAUGGCGUUUGAACGAAUUCAUUUUAUUCCUCCUGUCAUUGAAGAUAACCCAAACGGCUGGGGUCCUACCUCUGUUUCAGAUGCAUUUAAAGGAAUACCUUAUCAACCAUUCUCUAAAGGAGAUAAACUUGGCAAGAUAAAUACUUAAAUCAAUUUGGUGGUGGUAAUCAAUAUGCAUAUUAUCACGAAGAAGAUGAAUCAACUUUCCAUCUUGUUGACACAAGUCGACCACAAAAGCCUGUUUACAUGCGCAAUAGGAACAAAUUCAAUCAGAGGAAUAAUCAACGUGAUAAACUAGAUCAAGCAUGACUUUGGUCUAGCUUAAACGAGCAAUCACUGGAGAAAUAUCUUCAUAGCUUCAUUGGGCAUAAACAAUUGCUUUUUCAGUAUUAUGAGCAGGAUGCAUUGUUAUUGGAUGAUGAACAAUCUAGUAUGUUACCAAUGAUGGCUGCUGGCUUAAGUUCAAUUCUUUUUGCAAUUGACAUUGACAAAGCUGAGUUUAACUCUAUUACUGUACAGAUUCCAGGAAAUAUCAGCCAAGCAGUUUCUCGUCCAACAUCAAUAUGGGCUGUACCAUCACCAAUG